UACGGGGGGGGGCAAGCGUUGUUCGGAAUUACUGGGCGUAAAGGGCUCGUAGGCGGCCAACUAAGUCGGACGUGAAAUCCCUCGGCUCAACCGGGGAACUGCGUCCGAUACUGGAUGGCUUGAAUCCGGGAGAGGGAUGCGGAAUUCCAGGUGUAGCGGUGAAAUGCGUAGAUAUCUGGAGGAACACCGGUGGCGAAGGCGGCAUCCUGGACCGGCAUUGACGCUGAGGAGCGAAAGCCAGGGGGAGCAAAAACGGGG
rnacentral:rRNA from 1 species